rnacentral:rRNA from 1 species
UACGGGGGGGGCAAGCGUUGUUCGGAAUUACUGGGCGUAAAGGGUUUGUAGGUGGCCGAUUAAGUCAGACGUGAAAUCCCUCAGCUUAACUGGGGAACUGCGUCUGAUACUGGUUGGCUUGAGUGCAGGAGAGGAAUGCGGAAUUCCAGGUGUAGCGGUGAAAUGCGUAGAUAUCUGGAGGAACACCUGCGGCGAAGGCGGGUUGCUGGGCUGACACUGACGCUGAGGCGCGAAAGCUAGGGGAGCGAACGGG